AUGGCCGCUGCGCGCGUCGUCGCGUGCCUGCUGGCGGCGGUGAUGUGCCUCUCCUGCGAGGCAGCGAGGUCGCCGGAGGCCAGGAUGCACCGCCACCUCAAGCGCCUCAACAAGCCGGCCGUCAAGAGCAUCGAGAGCCCAGACGGGGACAUCAUAGACUGCGUGCACAUCUCGCACCAGCCGGCCUUCGACCACCCGUUCCUCAAGAACCACACCAUCCAGAUGAGGCCGAGCUAUCACCCGGAGGGCCUGUACGACGAGUCCAAGGCCAAUGUGGCCUCCUCCGGCGACGGCGAGCGGCCGAUGGUUCAGCUCUGGCACCGGAACGGCAGGUGCGCACCGGGCACCGUCCCGGUCCGGAGGACCAAGAAGGACGACUUGAUGCGCGCGACCUCGAUGCGGCGCUACGGCAGGAAGCACAAGCCCACGGUGGCGAACCCGAUGUCGGUCGAUCUCGCCAUGCUCAACGAGGGCGGCCAUCAGCACGCGAUAUCAUACGUUCAGGGCGAGAAGUACUACGGCGCCAAGGCGACGAUCAACGUGUGGGAGCCCAAGAUCGAGCAGCCCAACGAGUUCAGCCUGUCCCAGCUGUGGAUCUUGGGGGGCUCCUUCGGCGAGGACCUCAACAGCAUCGAGGCUGGCUGGCAGGUUAGCCCGGACCUCUAUGGGGACAACAACACAAGACUGUUCACCUACUGGACUAGUGACGCGUACCAGGCAACAGGGUGCUACAACAUACUGUGCUCAGGGUUCGUCCAGAUCAACAACGAGGUGGCCAUGGGGGCCAGCAUCUUCCCCAUCUCGGGCUACUCCGGCUCGCAGUACGACAUCAGCAUACUCAUCUGGAAGGAUCCGAAGGAGGGUCACUGGUGGAUGCAGUUUGGCAAGGAGUACGUGCUGGGUUACUGGCCGUCGUUCCUGUUCUCGUACCUGGCGGACAGCGCGUCGAUGAUCGAGUGGGGCGGGGAGGUGGUGAACUCGCAGGCGGAGGGGGUGCACACGUCGACGCAGAUGGGCAGCGGGCACUUCCCGGAGGAGGGGUUCGGCAAGGCGAGCUACUUCAAGAACAUCCAGGUGGUGGACAGCACCAACAACCUCAAGGCGCCCCAUGGGAUGGGCACCUUCACGGAGCAGUCCAACUGCUACGACGUGCAGAACGGCAACAACGCCGACUGGGGCUCCUACUUCUACUACGGCGGCCCCGGCCGGAGCGCCAACUGCCAGUGA
rnacentral:rRNA from 1 species